rnacentral:rRNA from 1 species
UACGAAGGGGGCUAGCGUUGUUCGGAAUUAUUGGGCGUAAAGCGCGCGCAGGCGGUUUCUUAAGUCUGAUGUGAAAGCCCACGGCUUAACCGUGGAAGGUCAUUGGAAACUGGGAGACUUGAGUGCAGAAGAGAAGAGCGGAAUUCCACGUGUAGCGGUGAAAUGCGUAGAGAUGUGGAGGAACACCAGUGGCGAAGGCGGCUCUUUGGUCUGUAACUGACGCUGAGGCGCGAAAGCUAGGGGAGCAAACGGG